UCUGCCUUAUAGGCCAGCGGUCCUAUUAGAGUGCCCAACUGAAUGCUGGUAACUAAUAGCGAGGGUUGCGCUCGUUGCGGGACUUAACCCAACAUCUCACAACACGAGCUGACGACAGCCAUGCAGCACCUGUCACCGCGUCUCCGAAGAGAACCCCAACUUUCGCUGGGUAGCGCGGGAUUUCAAGUCCAGGUAAGGUUUUUCGCGUAGCAUCGAAUUAAACCACAUGCUCCACCGCUUGUGCGGGCCCCCGUCAAUUCCUUUGAGUUUUAAUCUUGCGACCGUAAUUCCCAGGCGGAAUACUUAAUGCGUUAGCUACGUCACCGAAGCAAUUAGGAACUCCGACGACUAGUAUUCAUCGUUUAGGGCGUGGACUAC
rnacentral:misc_RNA from 1 species